GAACCUAUUCAGUUUAGGAUUACAAAUGCAAUACAGUCUUUCUCUAAUCUAAUACUCUUGACCACAUUGUUUGGUUUGAUAGUUUAUUUAUUCAUGUCUACUAUCCAACGUGAUUCGUGUGCUUAUAUGAUUACCUUGAAUGUGAUUUGGAAUGCUUUCCUAAAUCUCAUUCAUACUCUGAUCAGAGGUUCUAAAUCAUAUCAUAGAGUAUUCUCCCUCAAACGGUUUGAAGGUUAGAGAUCCCUUGUUGCGCAUUCACUUGCCUCCAUGACUAAGUGGCUUAACCCCAACGAUGCCGUGGACACCCCGAUGGGGUGACUUUGACAUAAUCAAAUAUCAAGGACUUAACCACAAGACAACUGUGAUGCCUCAGGUCAAAGGACUACUUUGCAUUAUCCCAACCAUGAGUUCUCAUGUGACAUGAAUAUGAGAACUCUUUGUUGAUCGUGUUCAGUGAACUCAUUCUCUAUUGAGCACCUACAUACUUGUCUUGAUAUCAUACACACCAAUGACUUGAGACUAGUCACUCUCCCUAAGAGAAGACACAGCACGUACUGAUCUUAACGGACUGUCAAUGCCCAAUUGGCAAUCCUAUGAUCAGGAACGUUUAGGAUGUGUCUACGAAAGAAUGGCCUCAUGAAUCUAACUUCUUUAGAUUGCAUUCUCCCAAUCACAUAUUCCUUGGACUUUAUCGUUUAAGCAUAUAACAUUUAUAUGAGACGGCUCAAACAAUAAUCUUUGCCCUUUAUAGUUAAACUAGAUUAGUUUAACAUGUGAAAUGUCCGUAAAGUAUCAUCAUAUGAUUGGUUUUAGGGCACAUUUCCAACAAUCUCCCACUUGCACUAGAGCCAAUCAGCUUGGUCAUCAGUGAUGAUACCUCUUUUGUAGUCAUUUCAUAAAUGGCUGAGUAGUAGGCCUAGACAAUGGAUAUCUAUAUGUUAUCCAUAGAAGCAACCUUGAGAAUAACGACGUCACCAUUAUACAUGAUUCUCAAUCAUGUGGUUCAGUCUCUCAUUUGAGUUCGGACCUUGAUGAGACCUUGAUUCCUUGGCUUGAGCUAUCGCCCCAUUAGUGUCAUACACUUUUUGGUUGGAACCGAAUAGAGAGUUCAUAAAUGAACUUUCCCAUCCAAACAACAUUGUUGUAAACUUCUAUAUGGCAAUAUAUUUUGCAUUCAUAAUGGAACACACUAAAGUCAUUACUUUAAUGUUUCCAUCCAAAUAUCUCUUUAGUCAUAAUAAAGAGAUAUCUGUUUAUCUCUUCAUUCAUAAUGAAGAAACAUCCAAUGAUGGAUUAGAUUCAUAAUCUAAUACAUUUACGCUUCCAUUACGUUACUCUAAUUCUUCCUCGAUCUUUGAGGAAUUUAUCCUUUAGUAUUUCUUAAAUACUUAAGGACUUACUUGACAGUUGCCAUGGUUUUGAUCCUGGGCUUGCACUGAUAUCGUCUUGUACCGUUCUAGGUACAACUCAUAUCAAUGUUUUUCAUACAAUAUGAAAUACAUAAAUCACUUUUUUGCGUAUGCAUAAAGGAUUCUAUUUACGCAUUAUUUCUUUGGGAGUCAAAGAGUACGUUCUCUUUGAGAAGAGCAACUUCUUAGUCUCACUAGAGUUGUCCUUUUGAUUGAAGUUCAUCAUCAUAUGAGAAACUUCCUAUCAUCUUUUGUCUAUUAUUAGGAAUUGAUAUAAUCCAAUUAUAUCCUAAAAAUCUAUCAUUAUAGAUUUCCAUCCCAUGUAUAUAGACUAUGUCUCCCAUAUACAUUCUAUCGUUAUAGAAUGUUUAAAGUCAUAACUUUAACGAAGAAGAAGUAUUCUUUUCAUUUCCAAAAUUAAUAUAUCAUAUAUAUAUUUAAAUUUUAGGAACAUGAUUAACUCCCACUAAUCUUUUGUAAACCUAGUAAACAAAAGAUUCAUUUACAUCUUUAUGAGAAAUCAAACGAUUUGAUCCUUUUUCUCAUAAAAUGCUUAUAGCUCCCACUAGCUUGCUAAGAUUCAUGAUGGAUGGAUCUCUACAACUUACAUGUCUUGUGAUUCAUAGUUUUAGACAUAUAUUAUCAAGACUAUCUUAAUAAUGGUUUCGGAAACCCAUAUUAUGUCCAAACAUUGAAUCACCAUUUAGUUGUAGCUAGCAAUCUUCGAAUUAAUUGAAACCAAGACUAUCUCAAAGAUGGUUUCUUCAAAGUCAACCAUUCUCUUUGAUUGUAGUCACCUUAAGCUACCAAUUAGCUUAUGAAGGUUUCAUUAUUUCGGGUCAAAUGGUACUUUACCAUUUCCUUGAGUAUAUAUCAUAUAUAUACACUCAAUGUAGUCAUAAGGAUUUUCAUUCUUAUUUCUUUCGAAUUAAGAGGUGCAACUCUAUGACAUAGUCAUAAAGUUCAAACCAUUCAACUGAGACGGUUUAUAAAUCCUUCUCGACUACCUUGGAGCUUUUGGUAUAGGAACUAGGUUGUUUAUAUUUGUUGAUUACUUUCUUGUCUCUCAAAGAACCCAUUCUUUGAGUUCUAUCUCUCGUUUAUUUGCUUUUAGGCAAAUCACAUUGUAGGAUUACAAUGAACUACUCAACAAAACAACAUUUGUUAGUUGGUUUAUAGAAGCGAUAUCCAAAAGUUAAUUUAAGGAUAUCCCACAAGAUUGUUAUCAAACAAAUAUUGCUUAUUAGCACACAACCCCAAAUCUUAACACGAUUAAGUUUUGUCUUUCUUUCCAACUACAUCUUAUGGAGUCAUGAAAAUUUUGGAAGAUCUUCUAAUUGACAAUCAUAUAUUGUUUAGAAGUAUAUAUCCUAUAUAUGGGUAAUUAGAUAACAUCCAACGAACUAAAUCUUAUUUUAAGUUCGUUCUUCUCCUUAAUGGAGAAAUCUAUUAUCUUAUGAUGCUUAUUUCCUUGAUAUCUUUCAAGGAAACUGUUCUAAAGUGUUACCUUUCCUUGGAUCAAAUCUAAGGAGGUAAAUACUUUAGACGUCUUACUCAUCAACUUACAUUUCUUGAAUUCUUUGAAACAUUUUGCAAAGUAUUCGGACUUGUGUUUAUUCAAAAUAAACUAUAGUCCAACCGAGAGUGAUCUUCGGUGAAUGUCAUGCAACAUGAGUAGUAUUAUGUUUGUGGACAAGUGCCACUAACAUCUAAGUGAAUUAACCUCAACAACUUUGUGAUUCUUUCUUCUUUCCAAAAGAAUAAAGAUUCGAAACAUUUCGCCUCUAUACAAUUUUAACAAGAAGGUAUUGGAUCCGGAUCUAACGAUCCAAAGCAUCCAUCUAUGACCAACUCGUAAUUUAUGUUUUAGAGGUAUCACAACUUUAGUUGGGAUUAGUCACUACCUUGCAACCUUUUGGGUUUUAAGCAUCAUUAUAUUCUAAACAGUUAACACUACCAUAUCAUCUCUACUAUAGAGACAAUCAAUUAGAUUACUAUAAUCCAAUCAUUGAUUAAUAAAGAACAAUGUUUUGUCAAACAAAACAUUCAUCCAUCUCUACUAUAGUGACGGAAUUAAGUUCCUUAAAAUUGGAAUGUAAAGACAAUCUUUGGUUUUUCCAAUUUCUUUGGUAGUUCAUAUGAGGAAGUAAGUACUAUCUGCUUUCGCAGAGAUCUUUAUUUUAUUCACGUUCCGAAUGUGAAGCACUUUUUCUUCUCUCAUAUAUCUUCUACUUCUUAUUAGUCACACUUUUACAACGAUUGUAAAACAUAGUUACUAAUACGGAAUCAAGCAUUCAAGUAGAAGAACCAACUGUUUUGAACUAUUCAAGAACAAUUUACAACACCUUCGAAAGGUGUGUUCUUGACACUUGCAAGACAUUUCUUGCAAAUACCCCUUCCAAUGUCCAUCCUUUCAUAAAGAAAGUUUGUUCCCUUGGAGUUAAUUUUAUCUUCUUCAUUUGACUUCUCCUUUGACUACAAUAGUCAUGGUCCCUAAACUCCCCAUAUCUCUCUUGAAACUUAUUUCAAUUGUGUUAUACACAUCAAACAUUUUGGAGAGUAUGUGUUUAUUGUUCACUAUAUAGUUUACAAUAAACUUAGUGAACCAUUAGGAUAGGGAAACAAAGGUGAAGUCCUUGCCUAGUUUCCGUCUCGUUAAGUGGUUUAACACUUCAACACUCAAUGAUUCAAAAUCAUCAUAAGUCCAUGUUGAUGGACUAUUUUUGUCAACCAACCAUUAUGUUCUAAACAUAAUUACAAACUUUCAAGAGUUGUACAAGGCAACUCUCAUUUCUUCAUACAACAAUUUGUAAGUGAAGAAUCAUGGCACAUUAAGUGUCCAUGCCUUUGUGCUUUCUUCUCAAGUUCCUUUGUUCAUGUAACAAAGAAACAAGCACUAAGUGUUUGCAUUGACUAAGGGUUGUUCAAAGCAACUCUUAUUUCUUCAUACAACAAUUUGUAAUUGAAGAAUUAUGACAUUAAAAGUGUUGUCCUCUUUAUGAUAGACCUUUUCUAACAUAUUCUUCUAAUGAUACAUUAUCAAUAGGAAGAUUGUGAGGAUGAGACUACUUAGGUACAUUUACAAGCCAUUAAAGACAAUCUAUGGUUUUGUAGUACCAAGUCCGGAAACUAAACUUUCGGCUUUUAUUUGUCAAGUGUUGGAUAGCGUUUGCAAAUAUAUUGGUAAACAAAUACAUAACGAAUAUAAAUUGAUUGAUUUUAAGCCAUUUGAUUCGGGUCUUUAAAUCAAAAUAGCACCACCCACUAUUUUUGGCAAAUUCCAUAUCCCUCAUUGGAAUUCGAGAGUUUUGGAUGAAACUCUUAGUAGGGUAUGGGAGGCUCACUAUUACCAAGCCCACCUCACAAUGAUAUGAUGUGUUGGCUAGCAUUAAUAAUAAUGAGAGAGUACGCUUACUCAUUUGCAACUAAUGCAAGUACCCAUCUUAUUUGGCCUCUAGAGAAUGUCACCUCACAAUGAUAUGAUGUUGGCUCCAUUGCACUUAGUUAAGUCAUUCCCACCAUGCUUAGUUCGUGAAGGGGUUCAAGAAUAGCCUCACGAUGAUACGAUGUCGGCCAUCCUCGUUGCCUACACUCACCUCAUCAAGUAUGUAUAUAGACUCCUCCUGAGUAUAAGCAUGCACUUUGCACUCCCCCAUGAUAGGGUGAAGGCGGUGUACAAGUCAUAAACGAUUGGAGCCUACCCCACGGUGGAAGGCCACGAAAGAGUGUUCAAAGCACUCUCACGCUUAUCAACUUAAUAAUGGUUUGGUUGAGGGUUUUAGGUCUCAUCACAUAUAAACAUACAUUUUAAUCUCUAUUAAAACAAUUUUGGUCCUAUUACAACUAUUGGUCCAUUUGAUUGUUUUUAGUUGUAUAUAAUACUCCCACUAUGCUUAUAAAACGGUUUUUAAAGCAAGAAGAGUAUAUGAUACUACUAACAUAAGGUUUGCAUUCAUUGAUGGACUAUAUAGUUGCCUUAGGGCCUUAGGAUGACUAUGAACCUUUGUUUAGAUUCAACACGAGCCUUGUGUUGAAUCUCGGUCUAGGGAUGGUGAUUGAUUUUAGUUACGCGUUUAAUCACAUUAAGGCGUGUUGUCUUAGGGGCGUUGGACCCAACUACUUCAUUUUCAUGCAUAUCAAAUAAAGCAAGAAAGAAGUACUUCAAAGUAAAGGUGAGCUUAUGCUCAUUACAACAUUUGCAUAAAACAAAUUACUUUAAAGUAAAGAAGAGCUUAUGCCUCUUUUACAACAUUUGAUCAAAUCAAAUUACAACCAAAAUCUAAUCUACACAUUCCCAUGGUUCAAACAAAUUUGAAACGGCCUUUCACAUAGCUCAAUUAUAUUAGGCUUAGGUUCAUAAUCACCCUUUAAUUAAUUAACACUUUAACUAAUUAAAUUGAAUGCAACAUUUUCAUUUGGUUUUUGUAUCCAUAAAAUUGAUUUAAAUGGAGCUAAACAAAAUGAAAAUCCAAUUCUCAUUUAAAGAGACAAAACAAUUUUGUUCUCUACCUAAUUUGGGCCAUAAAGCAAUUAACCUCAACUUUUGGGCUAUAUUGCAAAAACAUAAACUUUUGGGGUCACUUUGUAAAAACACAAAAGUCCACUACUUCAUGUAAAUACAACUAGAACCCAAAAUUUAAACAAUGCAAAAACUUCAUUAAAGGAGCAAAACAAUUUGUCCUUUAGCGUUUUUGGACCUAAACGUAAAAACGUAAACUUUUGGGCCAAAGUGCAAAUACACAAAAGUAUCAAAACUUUAUGUAAUUGCAUAAAAGCCCAAAAGUACUCCCACUUGAGGGAGGGCCGGUUUUGGAAGAGAAAAGUGUGUGUGUGUGUGUUUGACAUAAUAAAUGCAAGUGUGCAAGUGUGUGUGUGAAAGGAAAUUAAUCCUUUCACACCCACCAUAAUUACAUCUCUUACACCAUUUAACAAAAUAUCUAACACAUUAAAUCAUUUGAAAACAAAACAAAAAAACUUUAUGAAAUAAAUCAAAACUUUGAAUCAAAACACAAACCUUUUUGUUCUUGGCAAAAAUGUCAAGAACAAUGAAGAACAUUCAUGAAAAACCCAAAAAAUUUCCAUGAACUUUUUUCACCAAAAAACAUUCCAAAACCAUUCAAACUUAAGGGAAAUAACAUAUAACCAAACUAGGGUACAUAGGGGUUCCAAAAGUUACUUGAAAACACUUUUAACAAGUCAAACAAGAACCCCAAAAAUCCACCCUUUGGAUUUGGCCGAAAAUUCCCAAAAGCAUGGCACCAAAUUUUAGCUCCAAUAUUCAUGCUCAUAUAUGAACUACAUCUCUACAACAUUUGAGAUGGCAAAUUUUCUAACAAAAUUUACAUUCAAAGAACAAGAAUAAAGCUUGUAACAUAUUACAACUUUUAAAUCACACAAACUAUGAACUACAAAACCCAAAAGGAUUCACCAACUACUAGACCUAGGCUCUGAUACCACUUGAAGGAUGAUUUUGUGAAAACAUGUUCAUUUGAAUGCAACAUCUAUAGCAUGCAUGCAUUAACAAUUAAAAGGCGGAAUCAUGCUUGCAUGCAUUCAAAAACAAAACAUUACCAUGAAAUUCAAAGCCUAGUAGAUUGGUGAACCAAGACUCAACUCAAAAAAGUGAGUUGAAAAUAUAUACCUUUGUAGAUUCCUCUUUGCAUAAGCAAAGGCUAAUCACCCAAAGAGAGGGCCUUCAUUCCUUGCAUCUUAAAUCUAUGGAUUUGGAUGGAAGAAUAGGUUUCUCAAGUUCCCAAAAUUGAGAACCUCUAAGUCUCCACACCAAGGAGAGAUUGAGAGAAGAAAAUGAGUGACCUUGGAGUAGUAGUAUUGGCUAGAUACCCCCCAAGGGGCCGGCCUCUUUAGAGAGAAAUGGAGAGACAAUGUUCUCUCCAAUUUCUCCAAAACAAAACCCCUUAAUGAAUUUUAGCUAUAAAGUCAUAUUAUAACCUUAUUCAUUGAGUGGCAACUUGUAAAUAAGUCCAAAGUUCACUACCCUUCUCUAAAUGGGCCGGCCCUAGGGUUUUGUUUGGGCUUUUGGGCCUUUGUGAAUUAAGUUGUCAUACAACUUAAGUCAAUGGGCUUGACGUUCGAAGCCCAUUGGGCCUUAAGGUCCAAAACUAUCCCGAGGUCUUUAACGAACUAUUCGUUUGAUUAAUUAACAUAUUAAUUCCUUGCCAUAAAUAAUUAAACCAUUUUAUAUUAUUCUUACUCAUCUCCAUUGUUUCUUCAAUUUUCACCUUACACGGUGUACGAUCCAUUAGGUUCCUUUUAGCGAGGCAGUGGGCGAUUAAAACCAUUUUACAUCGAUUGUGAAUUGAAACUUACUUUUCAAUUCUCCCCUUUAGUGAUUACACACGUUUAGGGCUUCCACAAACCCAUGAGUGACACACUAGCAGCAUAUCAUGGUUACCCAAGCUAAUCAGAAGAGGUGGAGAACCUAUUCAGUUUAGGAUUACAAAUGCAAUACGGUAUUUCUCUAAUCUAAUACUCUUGACCACAUUGUUUGGUUUGAUAGUUUAUUUAUUCAUGUCUACUAUCCAAUGUGAUUCGUAUGCUUAUAUGAUUACCUUGAAUGUGAUUUGGAACGCUUUCCUAAAUCUCAUUCUUACUGGAAGAGUUCUAAUCAUUCAUACUCUCAUAGAGUAUUCUAAAUCCAUAUCAAACGGUUUGAAGGUUAGAGAUCCCUUGUUGCGCAUUCACUUGCCUUCAUGACUAAGUGGCUUAACCCCAACGAUGCCGUGGACACCCCGAUGGGGUGACUUUGACAUAAUCAAAUAUCAAGGACUUAACCACAAGACAACUGUGAUGCCUCAGGUCAAAAGACUACUUUGCAUUAUCCCAACCAUGAGUUCUCAUGUGACAUGAAUAUGAGAACUCUUCGUUGAUCGUGUUCAGUGAACUCAUUCUCUAUUGAGCACCUACAUACUUGUCUUGAUGUCACACACACCAAUGACUCGAGAAAGUCACUCUCCCUGAGAGAAGACACAACACGUACUGAUCUUAAUGGACUGUCAAUGCCUAAUUGGCAAUCCUAUGAUCAGGAACGUUUAGGAUGUGUCUA
rnacentral:lncRNA from 1 species